AAAAGUUACUUUGGAGUGCAUACUGUCCUGAAAACUGAGGAAACAGCCCCAUGGGGUGGCUGCCCCAUGCCAGCCCAUUCAUUGCCUUCCUGCUCCUGAAAAUUGGACCAAACUGGGGUUGAUUCUGCAGGUGAGGGAAGCUGCAGGAAAGCUCCUCUCUGUACGUUUUGCAUCUCUGACACAGUUUCAGUCAUCCCUCUUCCUUCUCCCACUCAGUUCAGGCUUUUGAAAGCUCCUUUCAGAUGAGAGAAUCUUCCUAAACACAUGCUGGAGAAACCUAAGAUUAUGACAUAUCUGAGACUGCUAGAGGAACAGCUUUCUCCUCAUAAGAUAAAAAGAGUCUGCUCACUGUAGGUUACUUGGCACAAAAGAUCUUGGGAAGAUUGCUGACAACCCAUCUCUGAUUUGAUGGGGAACAAUAGCCAAUGGCCCUUUUUAAUGUGCCAAGCGUUUGUUGGAAUUUCCCUGCAGUGUUGCAUGUCCAUUGCAUUCCUCACCAAUGCGGCUAAGAGGGCAAUAAAAUGACUCCCUCUGAGAAACAGAAAGAACUGAAGAAAAAAAAAAUCUGAUGGUCACCGUGCUUCUGGGAAAAGCCAGACCAGCAAUCACAGAAUGCUGAAACCAGUGUCUCUAAAACUUCUAGACAACUGCAGCAGUUAGCAGUGACAGAGCGGUGUCUGAGGUCUUUUUGGUACUUCAUAUCAUCCCCAUCUUUAAAUUUAGUUCUCAGGAGACAGCUGACUUAUUCGAGACCCUGUCGGACUAGCUUAUGUAAUGAGAAAUUACAGCGGUUUCAGGAGUUCAAUGAAGAAUUCUUGUUUUUGAAGGAGAAAACUUGUUUUUCAUCUCUCUGUCUAAAAUUCUUGUUUUGUUUUAUGACAUGUGGUUUGCCAUCUGUUCCCAGAGCACACAAUCUUAAGGACAGGAGUUUCAGAAAAAACACAGUAACUUUUUUCUGAACAAGGAAAUGCUCUUUCUGUUGACAAAUCACAUUGUGUUUUGCAAAAUCAGAGGGAGAAGCCUUUGGCCACUGCAAUUACUUUGUUGACUUUGCAAGUAUAGCUUAUUCUGUUUGCAUUUUAAGGUUUUGAGGUUUUUUUUAAGCUUUCUGUGUAUGCUGCAUUAAUUCCUUAGUAUUUCGCUACUAGUCCCUUUUUAUCUUCUGCUUAGACAUUGGAAUUUUUGAGUAUUACAAUGGGCAAUUAACACAGCUUGCUAAAACAGCUUGCCACUUCAGUGAGAAAAGAAAGUUGGGAUCUUAUUGCCAGGAAGAAAAUGUUGUGAAUGAUUACAAUUAGGCUGAGGCUGUGGUAGAAGCUGCUCAAAGGAUCUUUUAUUGAUUUACGGAAAUCUCUCUGUAUGGAAAAAAUUGUGUUGAAAAUAAAUGGGGAGUUUCUUCAUAUAUCUCCCUCUGACAGGUUAGAAAAGCAGGUGGGAAUAAGCAAGCUAUUUGACAGGAGAGAGAAAGACCUUUCACUCCAGAGGGAGGGAUAAGGUUUAGGUAAAUAUUUGACUUAUAUAAAUAACAGCAGUAUUAAUACCACUGCAAAGUGACCUGACUGCUGUCCCAGCCCAUCCGCUUCUGGCAGAUUGGCACAUUAGAGCGGUGUGUGCCCUGCAGCCCUUCUUCAGAGAGCAAUACAAUGAAAAUAAAAAAUACAAUUACUUAGGAAUGUGUUUGGCGAUUACUUUCAAAAUCCUUACCUUGUACUGAUAAUUGGUAGCUGCAAAGUGCUGAGUACAAGGUGGAUGUGUGUGGGAACUCAUACAAAGGAACUCCGGAUGGUUUCUGGAGAAAAAUAACCCUUUUUUUCUGCCCCCUCAGGAAAUGCUGACUUUACAAAGGAAUUACAAACCAGAAGCUUCUCAUAUUAUCUAAAGGUCAUUUUCCCUGCCACAGGCUCGGAAAUGGGAGAUGCAUUCUUUCAGGCAAAAAUAUUCUCAGCAGUACCCAGCAGCAGCACACAAAAGACCGGGGACGGCUGCAGGCACCUUCACGUGGAUGCUGGAGUGUGUAUAAACUUCUCGAAGUAUUGUCCUGGACCAUAAGCCCCACACUUAGAGUUAAGGCUGCUGGAGAGCUGAGGUGGUUUGGGAGAGGGAGUAUGGCAAGCAGUGCAGACUCAACCAGACCCUUGUGACCAAAGUGGGUCAAAGAGAGUAAAGGUGACCAGGUGGCAUACCAGUGGGACUUACUUAGUAGAGGUUCUUGAAGGAGAGGAAGAUAUGACUGAUGUCUUACAGCUCUACAUUUGCUAGGCACCAGGCUCCAAGGUAUUAUAAUGGAGUCUGUUUUGUGGCCAGAUUUCCAAAAAGUAAACCUUUUUGAUCACAAAUGGAACCCAUUCUGUUGUAAACCUAUACCUAGUCAUAACCAGUGACAGGCAGUGUCUUCCUUACAGGCUAAAAAAAAGGCAAAAAAGAAUGGAAAAGAUCCUGAGACGAGAGAAAUGGAAACAGAAUAUUUUGACAGGAAAUUUGUGGCAAUAUAUAGAUCAUAUAUGGAGUCCCAGACCUUCCUGUAAGGUGAAAUGUUCCGGGAGAGAUGUUCGCCGGGAGUAAAAUCUCAAUCGACAUGAUGGGAAGGCUUGUUUGUGCAUGUAUUUCGCUUGCACUGGACUCACAGAUUAUUGGCUGCCAGCUUUGGUCCUCAGCUGUUGGUCAUGCAGAAAAUUAAUGGAGUCUUCAUCCCAGGAAUUAUCAUAACAGAGUGCUUGAGGAUGUGCCAUCACCACCCCUGUGACUCAAUAGCUCAUACUACCAUGUUUUGAGAAGAAGAUGAAGUGAAGCAGUAUCUUGGGAGAUGGAAUGGAGGUGCUGAAAACCUGCGCUGUCCUUUUGUUUAAAGAAGUUGCAGUGUCCAGGAGAGAAGACAGG